rnacentral:tRNA from 4 species
GGGCGCGUAGCUCAGUGGGAGAGCACUCGCCUUACAAGCGAGGGGUCGCAGGUUCGAAACCUGCCGCGCCCAC